rnacentral:rRNA from 1 species
CCUACGGGUGGCUGCAGUGGGGGAUAUUGCACAAUGGGGGGAACCCUGAUGCAGCGACGCCGCGUGGGUGAAGGAGUGCUUCGGCAUGUAAAGCCCUAUCGGCAGGGAAGAAGCAAGACGGUACCUGACUAAGAAGCCCCGGCUAACUACGUGCCAGCAGCCGCGGUAAUACGUAGGGGGCAAGCGUUAUCCGGAUUUACUGGGUGUAAAGGGAGCGUAGACGGCGAUGCAAGUCUGAAGUGAAAGGCGGGGGCCCAACCCCCGGACUGCUUUGGAAACUGUAUGGCUGGAGUGCAGGAGAGGUAAGUGGAAUUCCUAGUGUAGCGGUGAAAUGCGUAGAUAUUAGGAGGAACACCAGUGGCGAAGGCGGCUUACUGGACUGUAACUGACGUUGAGGCUCGAAAGCGUGGGGAGCAAACAGGAUUAGAUACCCGAGUAGUC